rnacentral:snRNA from 1 species
AUUCUCUGGUUUCUUUUCAGAUCACAUAAAUCUUUCACUUUUACAAAAGAUUUCAAUGGAGAAAAACAACUCUGAGUCUUAAACCAAUUUUUUCAGACCUUGUUUUGGCAAGGCU